rnacentral:rRNA from 1 species
GACAGAGGGUGCAAACGUUGUUCGGAAUUACUGGGCGUAAAGCGCGUGUAGGCUGCUCGGAAAGUCGGAUGUGAAAGCCCUGGGCUCAACCCAGGAAGUGCACUCGAAACUCUCGAGCUUGAGUCCUGGAGAGGAAGGCGGAAUUCUCGGUGUAGAGGUGAAAUUCGUAGAUAUCGAGAGGAACAUCGGUGGCGAAGGCGGCCUUCUGGACAGUGACUGACGCUGAGACGCGAAAGCGUGGGGAGCAAACAGG